CUCUCUCUCUCUCUUUCUCUCACUUUCUCUCAUCUUCCACCAUUAAUACUCACCUCCAAGCUUUAACCACUUGAUUUUCCUCCAUAAUUUCUUUAGGAAAUCAAGAGUAAACCCUAAAUUAAGCCCUAAAUUGUAGAAAGCACACAAGAAUUUCAAGGAUUUUGGAAGAUUGGUGAAGAGGAGGUGUUGACCAAAUCAAGAAGGGGAAUUCAGUCAGAAAGGGAAAACAAGAAGGAAAGUCAAAGUUGGUUGGAUUAGAAGCAAAUUGAAGGUUGAUUGGAGUUGUUUAAGUCUUGUACACAAAGGUGACAGAUGGAUUUUUUUUGAAUAACCUGUUUUAUUUCUCACAAGUUUACCAGAAAGUGCAAUUGUGCUUUUAUUUUCCUUGUUCUUGUUCUAGAACUCUACAUGUACCAGUAAUGUAUUAAUUCUGUCUAGGAUUGUAAUAAAUUAAACUGUUGGUGCUGUAAAUUUA
rnacentral:misc_RNA from 1 species